GCCUGGGUGGCUCAGUCGGUUAAGCGUCCAACUUUGGCUCAGGUCACGAUCUCGCGGUUCGUGGGUUCGAGCCCCACAUCAGGCU
rfam:Felis catus isolate Cinnamon breed Abyssinian chromosome X, whole genome shotgun sequence.